rnacentral:tRNA from 6 species
UGGGAGAUCGUCUAAUGGUAGGACAACGGACUCUGAAUCCGUUAAUCAUGGUCCGAAUCCAUGUCUCCCAG